AAUGAAGUGCCUGACAAAAAGGGUAAUUUUGAUAGAAUUAAUAAUGUGAAAUUCACCUUCAUUA
rnacentral:tRNA from 1 species